rnacentral:pre_miRNA from 1 species
GAAGUUUAAUGCUGUAUCGGAACCCUUCGUUCGGUGACCACGAAUGGUUCUGACAGCAUGACCUUU